AGCAUGCAAGAAUCAAAUAGGCACAUGGCAUGUCUACCUCUUUUUCCCAGUUUGGUGACAGGAGCUUAUUCAUUCAGUAACAGGAAAGUUAUGGCUGAGCAUGGUUUGUUCGUUUUGGCUCUUUUGGGUACCUUCGUCCCAUGCAAGGCCUUGAAAAAUGUCGUGAUUGAAGGAACAACCAUGCGACCUAAUUUUAUUCGGAAGAAGGUCAGCGUAAGUGUUAGAACCCUUCCACAAAAUACGAGCCUUCGUCGCCAUUUACCGUUUGUCCGUUUCAGUUGGAUCCCUUGCCCAUCAGAAUACCCCUGGAGCUUCGAAUUGGGUCCAAAUGCUGCUCCCACUAUCAAACUGUAUCUUGGAGCAGGGUGCUAGAAUUUUACGAUCCAUUCUCGGAAUGCGUGGCAGAUUGGAUCCCAUGUCCAUAUCAAGAUCGCAAAUGCAUUGCAAAUAUUGAGCCAGCGUAUUGCCCACCUUCGCACCCUCAAGCAGUCGAGCAAGGAUGCUGUGCCACCAGCCAAGGAUCAUCUUCUCUCGAGUGUUUAGGAUCACUUAACGAAAAAAGCCCUAUGUCAUGUUGUCAACCCGAGGAUUUCAUUUUUAUUAAGGAUUGCUAUGAAAAGCGACGCCCUUGUCUUUCAAGCAAAGCCUCACCUUACCCACAACCGAUUAUUCUUUACGAAGAGACAAGAGGGACUCAUUUCGCGGAACGGGCCUUGCAGUAUUCUACUUGCGAUAUAUUCUUAGGCAUAAGAAAGCGAUGGGAUGGAGGGACUACCUCCAAACCUCAUUUCAUAUUUGAUUUUACCGAGUUGAGACACUUCCGUAAAGUCAUUUUGCGCAAUGGUCACGGAGAACGAUUUCAUGACCGGGGAACAAGGACGUUUGUUUUAUCGGUUUCGAACACGUCGGAGCCAUUCCUCUGGGUUGACAUCUUAUCCGACACUUUGCCCAAAGUUGAGUAUGGAACCACGUGUGAAGCUCCAUUGGUCAAUUUCACUUUACCCGGAGACGGUAUAUCGACUCGGUAUGGGAGAUUCAUGGUUACAUCAGAUUAUAGAUAUGGUGCAAGUCUGAACUACUUGGGGUUCGAAUGACCUGGGGAAUGCAAGAGAGGGAGCUUGCCACCAGGUGUGGAGGUUGUCACAGUUUCCUGGUAUGAGAGCGGUACGUGAAUUUCUAACCUCUCGCAAGGAAAUCCACAACCACAGACGAAUAGCCAAUCCAAUGAAGGACUAUGACAUUGCCUAUCGGAAUUGUAUGCACGGAUGGAGUACCAGCUGACUUCUCUGACGGGGCCAGGUUCCAUCUUGCGACAAACGCAACCCAAUUAGAAAUAAAGCCGUGGAGUUACUGCUGCUAUCAUGAGAUGGAAUUACUAGUCUUGACUUUUAUUGACAAUGAGAGAAGAAAAAUGUUUGAAAAAAAAAAUCAGUUGAUGUGAAUGUGUUUGUAAGUGUUUGCAAUAGUAAUCAAAGCAGUCUUGGGAGUCUGUUUAUCAUUAGUCCUUCAAUAAAUGUUCACAAGUUCAG